UACAGAGGUCUCAAGCGUUGUUCGGAUUCAUUGGGCGUAAAGGGUGCGUAGGCGGCGCGGUAAGUCGGGUGUGAAAUCUUGGAGCUUAACUCCGAAACUGCAUUCGAUACUGCCGUGCUUGAGGACUGGAGAGGAGACUGGAAUUUACGGUGUAGCGGUGAAAUGCGCAGAUAUCAGGAGGAACACCGGUGGCGAAGGCGGGUCUCUGGGCCGAUACUGACGCUGAGGAGCGAAAGCGUGGGGGAGCGAACAGG
rnacentral:rRNA from 1 species